rnacentral:misc_RNA from 1 species
GAUGAAGAACGCAGCGAAAUGCGAUAAGUAAUGUGAAUUGCAGAAUUCAGUGAAUCAUCGAAUCUUUGAACGCACAUUGCGCCCGCCAGUAUUCUGGCGGGCAUGCCUGUCUGAGCGUCAUUUCAACCCUCAUGCCCCUAGGGCGUGGUGUUGGGGAUCGGCCAAAGCCCGCGAGGGACGGCCGGCCCCUAAAUCUAGUGGCGGACCCGUCGUGGCCUCCUCUGCGAAGUAGUGAUAUUCCGCAUCGGAGAGCGAUGAGCCCCUGCCGUUAAACCCCCAACUUUCCAAGGUUGACCUCACAUCAGGUAGGAAUACCCGCUGAACUUAAGCAUAUCAAUAAGCGGAGGA